GUAGGUCAACAUGUCCUUUAUAGCAGAGAAUGGAGCUACAAGGCUAGAGGAUCUCGCCCAUACCGGAUUGAGGAGGCUUCAAGAGCAGCUGGUGAGGGCCGGACCGAAUCCAGAAGGGCGGGCCCUUGGUCCUGCGCUCACCCACGCAGGUGUAUUUCUAUACAUACCGCGUGGGUGUAUUUCUACCAAUGAAGGUCACAUACAGGAAGGAAUGAAGGACCAACACGGUGUCCAGGCUGACAAUAGGAAAACGGAGGUUCGGAUGGCUCGGGGAAACAUGUCAAUCACGAGAGCAAGCACGCUAGCCAGCACAGGGAGGCCGAGAGAAGAUGUGCACUGAGAGAGACUGGGUCUGGGUCUUGGCCUGCAAGGUGGACCCUGACCCCGGAAUCUUCAGGACGGUUU
rnacentral:lncRNA from 1 species